UCUCUGGUGGCUCAGUGGUAAAGUACCUGCCUGCAAAGCAGGAGAUGCAUCAGGAGAA
rnacentral:tRNA from 1 species